rnacentral:rRNA from 1 species
CUACGGGUCGCUGCAGUGAGGAAUAUUGCGCAAUGGGGGCAACCCUGACGCAGCGACGCCGCGUGGAUGAUGAAGGCCUUCGGGUUGUAAAAUCCUGUCAGAUGGGAAGAAAUGUAUAUUGUCUAAUAGGCAGUGUAUUUGACGGUACCAUCAAAGGAAGCACCGGCUAACUCCGUGCCAGCAGCCGCGGUAAUACGGAGGGUGCGAGCGUUGUUCGGAAUUACUGGGCGUAAAGCGCGCGUAGGCGGCUUUGUAAGUCAGAUGUGAAAGCCCACGGCUCAACCGUGGACGUGCAUUUGAAACUGCAAGGCUUGAGUACUGGAGGGGGUAGUGGAAUUCCCGGUGUAGAGGUGAAAUUCGUAGAGAUCGGGAGGAAUACCGGUGGCGAAGGCGACUGCCUGGCCAGAUACUGACGCUGAGGUGCGAAAGCGCGGGGAGCAAACAGGAUUAGAUACCCUGGUAGUC